AUGAAACAUGAAAUUAAAUUGGUUAGCAAAGAAACAUUGAACAAGAACAAAGAAUUUUCAAAGAAGAAGUUCCUCUCCAAGAUUCAUCAUUAUGGUUUUGUAAAGGAAUCAGAAUUUAGGUUUGGUUUUCAAUCAUGUGCUAAGCCAAAUCUAAAACCUCAUAUUAUUUGUUCCAAAUUCAGAAAUCAGAGGUACAUUGCUUUAUCAUAG